UUACUCUAUGUCUAAAAUCCACAUAUGAGUGAGUACAUACCAUGUUUGUCUUUUUGUGAUUGAGUUACCUCGCUCAGAGUGGUUUCUUCAAGUUCCAUCCUUAAGAUUCCAUUGUUUUUUUCUGCUGCAACUUAUGGGUUUUAAGAAGGUCUAAGGAACUGUGUGAGGUGAGCUGAAGGACAAACUGGCUUUAGUACACACUUUAAAAUGAUGGAUGUUUAGUUUCUUUUCCUGUUGCUGUAAUGAAAAGCUCUGACAAAAGCAACUUAAGGGUGUAAAGUUUUUUAUUUUAGCUCACUGCCCAAGGGUCCAUCAUGGCAGGGGAGCAGGACCUUGAAACAGCUAGCAUGCAGUGAAUACACUGCUGCCUAGCUCCUUUUUCCAUUUAUACCGUUCAGGUCCCAGCCUGUGAAUGGAUGCUCUCACCCCAGUGAAGGCAGUCCAGAUCUUCUUCAGGCAUGCCCAAGAGGUUCAUCUCCCAGGGGAGCCUAGAUUCUGUUAAGUUGGCCAUUAACAUUUAACUGCCACACUAUAUAAAAACAAAAGCAGUAGAUGCCCAACAGACCUAUGCUUAAAUUAUAAAAGAUUAAAACUGUGAAUGAAUGUGAAAAGUUAAUGAAAAUAUAUUCUGUCAACUCUUGCCCCCCACCCAAAUUUAAGUCCUUUAUUUUAAAAUAAGUGAAAUAUUUAAUACUUAACUAUUUUAGGAAACCUGGUAUUUCAUCUCUUCAGAUGGGAGAUCUUUUACUUAGCCAUGCAGCAGUUGAAUGAAUGUGUGAGUGAAGACAUUCAUGAGCCAUGAAAAGCAGUUUAGGAUCUAAUUCUAUGCCCUCUACUGUUUUUUUCCAAGUCAGUGACACAUAAGUCGGUACAAAAAAAGGAUAUUGAGCUCAACAUAUCCAGUCUUGGUCAUCAUUUCCUAGUAAUUAUGGGUGCUUGAGCCUUAAGUAAAUUUUGUGAUUAAUUUUCAUUUCAUCUAUCUAUUGAGAAUUGCCUUGAUCUUCAACAACAUAAAUGGUGCUAAAAAUAUGGCAGUCCCUACACGAACACAGCAGCCACUGUAAUGCUGUGACUUCAGAGUAGCCAAGAUGAACAUAUGUAAUGAGCUCCCUUUCAUUUCCAUUCUGUCCAUGAAAGGGUUCUGGCUUUGAUACCUGCAUUUUAGCAGCUUGAGGAGGUUGGCAGCCCAGCCUUAGAUUCUGCGUGUGAGAAAUUCCCUGGGGGAACUUCAUGACAUGCAGGUAUGAACCAUGCACAUAUGAACCUUGCUGUGCUCUUGUCGCCUUGAUGAGCAAAGUCUGCUCUUUGCACAUUGACAUGGCAAUGUUGGUCAGAGGUUCACUGCCCUGAAAACCAUGCCCCCUAAGCGCCGGGCAGUUUGGGUUCUUGCUUCCUCCUUGUGAACUCAUCUCAGAUGCCUGGCUCAUGGGGUGAAAAUUUCCUGUCAUUUGUCAUGUCUCUUGUCUUCACUGUUUGAGGCUGAGCCACCUCUGGGUCUUUGCUUUUGAUCCCUUUAAUGCAAUCAGAUGCCAAGGAUUGUGAAAACAGCUAAAAAUAAACUUAGAACACUCAGAAGCCUGCUCUGUUGCUGUGGUUAAAUGUCUGCUUUUAAGGACUGGCAGACUGGGACCUGCGCUUUGACUUCCUGUGCUGAAUUCAACUCUGACAUCUCACUGCCUUUGUGGACAGAGGGAUUAAGAUUUGUCAUUUGUAGCUGGGCGAUGGUGGCGCAUGCCUUUAUUCCCAGCACUCGGGAGGCAGAGGCAGGCAGAUCUCUGUGAGUUCGAGGCCAGCCUGAUCUACAGAGUGAGUGCCAGGAUAGGCUCCAAAGCUACACAGAGAAACCCUGUCUCAAAAAACAAAAUACAAAACAAAACAAAACAAAACAAACAAACAAAAAAGAUUUGGCAUGUGUUACUGGGCAGUGCUGAAGUUAGAAGACAGGAAGUGAUCAACACAGUGCCUGAAGGUAUGCAGUUUUAGCCAUGGAUGUGGACUGAACAACAGUUCCACUGCCUACUCUAAGCGAGAUGAGUUUGACUUAGGUGAGUUACUGACCCUCCCUGAAUCUUUAUCUUGACCAUGCACAGUCUGUCUCAGGUGGUGGUGUGGACUCUGGGCUGUCUGCAGGACACAGAUGUGGAGAAAGAUGCCCUCGGCCUACAGAACAGGCCUCCAACAGUAGUCCUUGUUACAUGUUUGCUGAGGACUGGCUGCUGUGCCCUGAACAUCUUUCAUCUGUACUGAUCACUCUAGUUGCAUCUGGAAGUGGGAUAGCAAGAACAUGUAUGGGACUGUCACAGAAAAGGGGUAAUGGAAAUGGGGAAUGAAGGUCUCGCUUAGUGGAGGGGCUAACAGAGUCCUCAGAAGGCAUCUCUUAAGAGAGCAGUGCUCUGUUACUAACAGAAAACAAGAACAAAAAGAUGACAAGAAGAGAGUACUACAACUCACUGUUGACUGCCCUGGCCCUCUAAAGUUGGAACCUGGGGAAGGAGGCAAGAGAUAGAGCCAAGAUCUUAAAUUUCGACUAGUACUGCCCUAAGCCGGUCUCACUCCCCUGGGCCUGGCCAAGGCUUAGCUCACUUUCUCUCCUGUUGGGGUAUGUUCAGGGACCCUUCUGUCCUUCCCCUCUUACCCAGUUCAGGGCCUUUCAUUGGCAGCUGCCUUGAUGUGCUAAUGCUUCCUCCUUGUAAGCUCCUCCCAGGCCAAGUGACACCCAACAGUCUGAUAAUGGAGUAGCAUGGAGACAACCCUUUCUCUCCAGCUAGCCUUGUUACAUAUACGACCAGCUCUGAGCCAGAUGAAGACUUGCUGCUUAGCGCCAUCAUGCUUAACAUCUCCAGGCUGGAUGGUGCACUGACCUGAAGGAACAAUCCUCAUGAAUUCUCUUUUGUUCUUUGUGCCCUUAUCAACAUGAAGUAUCAGUUCAAGCAUUGUAGAUACACAGUGCCUAAAGUAGAAGGGCCAGUCCAGAAAAGCAACAUACUCACCAACCUAGUAGAUUCCAGAACUUUUUCUGUAGUACAUGAGGUAAAGCUGUGUGUGUGUUUAUGUGUGUGUGCGCGUGCGUGCGCGUGCCAGUAAUGGGUAUGCCUAAUGGAGGACACAAAAUACCAGGUAGUAACACCCUGGGCCUGGAGAAAAGACUGUUGUAGAGGUGUAUCUAGCAUCUAGCCCACACUUAGCCUGAUGACCCACAUGUUGAAAGGAGAGAACUGACUCCUGCAAGUUGUUCUUUGGUGACACCCCACCAAAGAAAAAGUUGAAAAUUAAUACUUUUUAAAAUAAAAAAAGAAUCCUGAGGAGUAACAGGAGUGUGAUGAAAUACACAAGUGCCUGCCUUCCUCCAACCAUUGCUGCCAUUGAUACUGUCAGAAAGGAGAAGUCAGAAGGAUGUGGUAGGCUCCCCAUGAGUCCUAUGUAUGCUAAGCUACACAGGAAGGGAUGAAGGGAGAGUGAUUAGGAGGUAGAGGGACCUUGGUUAUGUGUGUGUAGGUGAUGCAUGAGACUCAUCUAGACAGGAAUGUCAUGAAGGAGGAGAGCAGUGCAGACUUGCCCUAUGGUGCCCUUCUUCCAGGAGGAAAGGUACUGCUACUUAGACCAGUACAUCUCCAAAUUCUUUAGGAUAGCUAGAUACUGAGUUCACCUUGGCACUAGCCAGAUAAAAAGAUACAUAUGUCCCUGUUCCUUGGUGGAAGCAAAGAACAUGACCUCUUAGUAUUUCAACAAUUCAAUGGGCAUGAUGACAUGCCUGUAAUCAGAGUUUGGAAAGCCAAAGCAGGAGGAUUAUGAGUUCCAGGCCAUCCUAGGUAAGUUAACGAGACUGUAUCUCAAAAGGCAAAGCAAAGCAAACUCACAGUAUAAGCAGAAUAGAAGAUGUAAUUAAAAGAUGAACAGUAAAGAAGAAAACUUCCAGCCUUAAGCAAAUUAAUAGGAUACUUAUAGGGAUUAUGGGUAUGUAAUAAAACAAUACAUUAUGAGGAAUUUGAAAAAAUCAUCUUUUAGGUUAUGAUAUCAUAGGGCUUUCCUCCCAAAGACUGUGGACGAGACUUCAGGUGGCAGGAGUAGGCAGAUUUUCCUCUCAGGCCUGACCAACAUUGAGACUUUCAUAUCAUGAGUAGGGCAGAGAAAAAUUGGAGGAGAGUUCAGAGAAGGACUGCCCAUAUGCCCAAAGUGGAGGGAAAUAAAAACCAUAAUUCAGGAAAAAUAUCUUAGUAAGGUAGAUCAUAUUUAUGACAGGAAGUUAGGGGGAAAAUCUCUUGCUUGGAGAUGUCAGCUACAGAGGUAAAGGGUCAAACUUACUACGUAAAUUUGGAAUAUGAGGAAACCUUAGUUAAGAUUAGGAAAUCAAGUGACUGGUGGGUAAAUAGAUUAAUGAUUAGGAUAAGAAAAUCAAGAAACUACAAAGAACCCAGCUUACACACCAACCUUUAAUCUACCGUUUACUGUGAAACUGAAAGGCUAUAAACUGACAGCCACAGCACUGUGACUCCCAGGGGACUUAAUUUCAUCAGAGCAGGCAAAUGUGGAUUGCUGUUAAUGUGCUGACCUUAGGAAUAAGGUCAUUUCCCAUUGUCAAAUUGCAUACAUACUGUGUACUAAAACUGGAUCAUACAUGAAAUGUUGGGGCAGGAAGGAGCCUAGACUGAGUGGGCAGAUGAUCAGAGGCUGAAGAAGUAUGGAAUGCCCUGCUUUGGGCUCCAGGCCUCUAGGUUGGAAGCUUCCCUUCAGUGAGUGAGUGAGGGUGUACUGGUGCUGGGCAGAACUUCUUGUGGGGCUCCAUCAGGUUUGUGAAACUCUGACACCUUAGACAUACAAGCUUUAGAUGGUUACUUUAGUAAGAUACACAGGGCAAAGCAAAAUGUAUCACUGAGUACAAGGAACAAGGUAGACUGUGUAGAUGUGGCACCCCUGGGGUCAUGAGCCUGCUUCAUGGUAACAUGCCUGACACUGUGGGGUGCUAGCUCCUGUGAUGUUAGCCCUGAAUCUACUGUGACAUGAAGGUGGUAUGACUUUUGCCUUCAGAUACUGGUUCACUCAAAUUUGGUUCUUGGAAAUUCACAACCUUACACCUAAUGUUCUCCAGCUCCAAUGGCUGCCUCUCCUGGAUGCAUGGUUGGAAACCAUCACCAUGCAUAUCACCAAGUUUCCAUGAAGUUAUAUACUGUAUGGAAGCUGAUAUGUCUAGGGUGUAGGAAUAGUUUCAUUUUUUUUUUCCUGCGAUUAAAGAAUUAAAAGGCAGGAGCGUUUGAAAGUCAAAAUCAAGGUUUACUCAAAGUGAAAGGACCUGGAGUACCCUCUUGGGUUCUUGGUUUUAUUAAUGAGAGUUUUAUUGAAAUGGAUCAAAUGGAAGCUUGGGGACAAUUUCAGAAGAGAUUAAAAGAAAACUCCCAGAGCAAGCAAGCUGUAAAUCUCAGUAGUUGCCUAGAGGAGGAAAAAGAAAGCUAUGCUACACUGCAGCAGGCAGGCACAUGGUGGGCAGAGGUGCAUUAGGGAAAAAAAAGCACGGAAUUCCCAAGUGCUAGAAAAGGAAAACUUAGUUUCAUGCCUGUAAUUUAAAGGAGACAGAAAAAUGGGAGGUUGUACCUUUUGGAGUAAGGACCCAACUGAACCCCAAGACAGCUUAGAGGGACUGUGCUAGGGGCUGGGAUACUGGGAAGUAAAAGUACAGUAUCUCAUUAAAGGAAUUUAUUCUGCUCAUCUCUUUGGCCUAGCUUAAGGUGAGUCUGCCUUCCUGUGGUGCUCCCACCUUCCCAGUGUGCUCCCAUGGUCAGGUGAUUGACCUGCUAGACCGUAUUCACUCAUGUAUUGGGUAACUAAGAUGUUAGACCUCUGCCAAGACCAGAGAUUUUAUGCUCUUGACCAGAAGGAACAGUUUUCUCAGUAGAACUUUACUGCUGCUGUUAGAAUGGGUUUUGACUGUUCUGUCCCCAUCUCCUUUCUUCUUAUACAUCAAGGAACUCGUCUUUCUGGUGUAAAAAGACUCGCAGUUCUUGUGUGUUGUUUCAGUGUCUGUGUUGGUUGACGUUUGUUUCUACAGAGGUAGAUGUCAAAAGUCUUACUGGUAAAGUGCACUUGGAACUACAUGGCCUAACUGAAAAGAGGUACUAUAUAAAAAACAUUGACUAAAUCCAUCCAUGUGUAUCUGUCUUGAAAGCUAUCCUUGAAAGGGCAUCUCUCCUUGCCAGGUUUUGAGAGAUUCUGGUAGACUGAUUACAAAUCAAGGAGAAAAAAAUAUCAUUGGACUGGAGUGAUAGCUUAGUGGUUAAGAGUGCUUGCCCUGAAGUAAUGAGGACAAGAGUUUGGGUCCUAGUAUCCACUAUGCAAGCUAUGAGGGUCAGAAACAAGAUUGAUGGAUCUUGAUGGCUUCCAUCUUGGGCAACAGAAUUUGAGCUCCAGGUUCAUAAAGGGAUCCUGUUUCCAAGGAAACAAGACAGUGAUUCUGGACUCCGUGUUGUGUGUAUAGUUGUGUGAACCCCAACACUAAAGUGUGCAUACACAAAGGCAGGUACCAAAUAAAAGUCUUAAAAAUUUAUUACUAAGAUUUUUUGAAGGUACAAGUUACAAUUCUGGAACCACUUGUACUUGGCCGAGAAUUUGUUUUCUUUGAUCUCACUGCUUUUCCCAGCAGGGAGCCACAGUAGUUAGGAGAGCUAACAAAUGACCUUCCAUCUUGUGAGGGGAAAAAAAAUGAAGUUUAAAGUUUCUUUGUCUUCUCAUUAUUUUCCCUUUUGAGAUCAGUCAGUAAACUGUGCAAUGAGUUGUGUUUCCUGACUUCUAAGUGGAGUUUGGGUUGUUUUGAUUACAGUCCUGUUUCUCUCCUGCUUAGCUUUGGUAUGUUAAUUUUAGUCGAUAGCCUUUGAAUGAGCAGGGGACCUCGGCUUUCUUACGUUUUCCUUCAAAUUUCCACUACAUCCUGUUUCAUGUGUGGUUAAAUCAGCUGAUGAGUCACCUGAUGUUUUGCUUCUUCAAACGACAAAAAUAGAGGCUCAGAAUAACUACACAGAAGUAUCUCUCAUGGUUUCCAAAUACAUUGCUCAAAACCAUGCUUUUUGAUGCUCCAAAUGCUUUUUAUAAAAGAGCCUUGUUGCAGGGCUUGUGUGGGAAGGCAGAAGAAACCACUGGGUUUGCACAGAUAAGUCACCUCGCCCUCUCAGGUCCUACCAGAGACAGCAUUAUAUUGGUUAUAACAGUGUGGGCAGCACUGAGAACAAGAGGACCCCUCUCCUGAUCCUGGGCAGGUUUCAUGCUAAGUUUGGCAGGUACCUCUCUUGCAAUACCCUAGGCCUGACAUCUGCUUGAUUCUCACAGACCAGCACAUAAUGGUCCUCUGUUUAAAGCUUUACUGAAGCAGGAAAGAAAAAAAAAAAAAAAAAAAAAAAAAAACAGUACAAAAACCCAUUUUUCAAGGUAACACAAUUUAAUGCCAAGAGGUCAGAUGAUGUGGUGAUGCACCCCUUUAAUCCCGGCAUUCAGGAAGCAGAGGCAGGAGAAGCUCUGAGUACGAGGUCAGCCUGGUCUACAUAUGAGUUCCAGGACAGCCAGGUCUAUGUAGAGACCUUGUCUCAAAAACAAGCAAAAAACCAAACCAACUCUAAAAAUAAGUAAUUACAAGAAUAUUUGUAUUUUCUAUUUUGUAACACAUAUCUCACUCUCAGUUUGGGGAGAAAGUUGCUGAAUCUAGAAGAGAGUUCUAUCCUAUUUCAGAAGAAAACAAUAGGAGGUUGGGAGAGCUGGGAACUACAAGUGUAGCUCAGUGGAGGGGUGGCGGUGUGGCCCGGAGUUUCAUCUCCAGAACAGGCAUCCACACACGCACACUAAGUGAGUGGUUCAAUUCUUACUUUAAACAUAAAAUGGAGUACUCUUUUCCAUGAUUGAAGUGUGUAAUUGUCUGAAGCCUGUCACAUUCAGGAGGGGGCUGCAUUGGAGCUUACAGUGCCAAAACUACUGCCGUCCAAAUGUACUCCUGGUACAUCUUAAACCAACACUGUGCUUUAUUUCUGAGGCCCUCCACGAACAUUUCCAAAUGAAACUAUCAGCAGAUGCCAAAAAUCAGAUGGCCCCAAAUGGGAGAGGAGGACUUUUGAUGCAAGAGAACCCCACAUAGGCAGCAAGGGGUGACUGACCGACCGCCUUUUACCCACAGAUGCAAACAAGUGGCCUCUCCAGUGACCGAGUCCUCGGUGGUGGUGAGUUUCCUGCCAGCCACAAGCCUCUCAACACUCCCAGCCUGCAGUGGUAGGCUUUGUCCUCUCAUGACUCACAGCAGUCCUGCUUACUGAGUUCCUGGUGGGUGCCUUAGAGGUGUCCUGUAUGCCAGGACCCAGUAAACAAGGGCAGAGCAAAUGGCUUGUGUGCACUUAGAAUGACCCCCUGUGGCCCCUCAGAAAAACAGUCCUCCCUGCUUCUUCAGAGAAAACCCUCACUCUAGAAAGGCUUCAUUUGGGCAGUCUCAACUGACUUGCCAAUGAAAACCUUCCUCCUCAUGACCUUGGGAGUUUAGGUUGUAAUAGUCUAUAGUUGUUUGACCUUCAGAAAAGUCAUACCUGGUCUUCCCGAAGUCCUUGACUGGAGGAUUUCACAGGCAUGGCCCUUAUCUGUUUGUCAGCUGAGCAAAGUAAUUUAAAUCACCAUCAGGCUGAUGAAGUAGGAAGACUGCCCAACGCCUCUGCAAAGCAGAGAAAGUGACCCCUGCCCAAGUCCAGGCGAUGGAGUCCUUGGUUUGAACCUAACAUUAUGACAACUUAGAGUUCUGCCUCAGGAUGUCAAGUGACCAAAUAGGCCCAAAGAAGGUAGGUAGUGUGUGGAGAAGCCUGCCCUGCAAAGUCUGAACAAACCCUGCGGAACGGCAGCUCUACUGUCAAGGCCUGGGCCUGGCCCUACAUCCUAGGUUCUCAGGAACUCUACUACAGCUUCACUCAUCUUGAUCAGCACACAGUGAAGUAGUUAUACUUCUGCUGGUGACAUGGCUCCGUUGGGCAGCAAGAUAAACUGGAAAUGUGCAUUCUCUGCUCCUUACCUGGUACCGGGAAGAAGGAGAAGAUACGAAGAGGAAUGACACAGAGUUCUGCAAAGGCGAAGUCCACUCCAAUGAUGUCUAUCAAAAUCUUCUCAGAGACGUUGGGGGUCCAGAACAUUACAAAACAGAGCUGGAGGAUGGGAGAAGACAACAGUGAGCAACGUUGUGAGGAAAAAGCAUAAAAAAGUGAAAUGACAAUGUCAGGUA